CUAGUAAAUAAAAUGGGUUGUCUAUAAGGGAAAAAAGCAUAGGAUGGGACUGUGAGCCUGUCGGACUGCUGGCCAGGGUGGGGCUCUGAGAGGCUGAGAGAUAGACUGCAUGUUCUGAAAAUCAGCCAGAAUAUUGAGCCGUUCAGAAAGAAGGAAUACUCUGUUCUUGACCACCCAGGGCAAGGGCAACCACAGAGCAGAUGAAGAAGGUGAUAUGCUAACCCAAUACCACCUGUCACCAAAGGACGAAAGGAAGAAGUAAAAAUAGGGAGGGGAUGGAGGAGAGAGAGAGAAAGGGGACAGGAGGAAAUCUAUUGCUCUAUUUGAAGACAUGAAAAAAAGAUACAACCAACGAAAAGAUGAAUCCAAAUUAAGAAUGUACAUAGGAGGAAACGGGGGUGUCAAAAGACUCAUGCUGCAGGCAUUCUUCAGCUUGUCCCCAGUGGAGCCAAGGGGCCCGAGGGCCGCGAGAGGGGGAGGAGAGAGACCUCAUCACCAGACAAGCGCUGGCGGCCUAGAGACCCCAGGCUGGCUUCCCAGCGCGCGCCAGCUCACUCAAGAUCGGCUUCAGCGGCGCAGGACUCUAGGGUGCGGGGGCACCAAGGGGCGCCUGCAGGGCGGUGGGGGGAGCGGCAAAGCGGUAGGACAACCUGGGAAAGCCCUGGAGGGCUGAGAAGGCUGCGCAGCCUCCACUUCAAAGCGCCUUUCCGAGGCUCUUCCCGGAGCUGGCUGGUGCAGAAGCCAGGGCCCUCCUCCGCGGAGCCACCGCCCUCUGGUGGCAGCGUACAGAGGUUACGGCUGCUCCCUCGGCCCCGCCUCCCCGCGCAAGGCUGGACGGCGGAGGUGCCACUCACGCAUCCUGCAAGCAGGAGGCCCGGUAGCGAGCUCCCACUGGAGACCUGAAACCUGCCAAAAGGGGAAGUCAGACUCGGGUGAUCCGGGACUGGAACCUGAGGUUCUGGAUAGCCCGCCCAACUGAUGACGCUUCCAGCACUUCUGCUAAUUGUAAAAGCAAAAGGCACCAGACAAUGAAGAUUUUAUUUCAAAAUGUUUCUUUGGCGAGGAUCGCCU